rnacentral:lncRNA from 1 species
GAAGGUGAGACGAGGAGGAGAGAGAAGGCGCCGUGGGACCCGGCUGUCUGUGUGAGUGGAGCCGCGAGCGUGGAUAAGUGAGAGACGCCUUCUGCGCUAUUCCGCUUUCCUCGCAGGAAAGCGCAUUCCUGCCAAAGGCGAUUUCACCAUCAGCCCAGCCGCCCUGCCGAGGGACCCGGAUGAGAAUAUUUUUAUUGCAGAUUAGUCCCUGGCAGAAAAUCAUCCAUAUCUUUUUAUCCGUGACUCCGAUUCGAGUGAUUCCCGCGGCCACGUCUUCGUCUCGCCAAGCCCAUCAAGCUGGUAUCAUUUCCACCCUGUGAUCUCACAGUAGAAAUGACCAUGUUGCCCUUGCCGUAAACAGCCCCUCCUCCGAGAGAGAACUGUUUCCGGCAAUUCCUUCCGCGAGUUUUUUGCGCUUCUUCUCGGUGGUUUCAUCAUCCCAGGCAAGACACAACUUUCAUUUGCUUCAUUGCAUUGCAAUAUCAUAGUAUCAUUAACUACUUUAAUAAUAAAUAUAUUUGUUGAUAGUCUGGUAUGUGAGCAUGCACUGUCUGAAUAGAUAACUGCAGUGUUGAGCACAAGACCGUUAGUAACUAAUACUUCCACCCACUAAUUUACUCUAUACUAUUGAUUUUACUGUCUAUGAUUACUUUGUGAACAUGGAUCAACAGUAGUGGCUAGAGCUUAUCGGAUUGCCAUGACAUUGGAGUGUUAGCUGUGACAGACCAUUCGGGAUAAGAUACCUAGUUGGUUAAUCAAAGUCACCUGUCCGGGCCCAUCCGCACAACCACAUUCUACCGGUAUGGGAUGGCCUUGACUUGAGUUGUACACGUGAUCGCUCUCACCGGUACCUCCAAAGAGGGAGGGUUAUGCACGCGCGCUACCUUGUCCCGGUAGGCGGUGAUAACCUUGCGAGCAAGUUGAGUUGUUUGGGGUACCCGUCCCCGUUUGGGACAGUUUUGUUUGGCCACGACGGUGGCAAGUGUCAUGAGGACACAGGGCCACCCAGGGCAGGACUCCGGAAGGGAGUGGUUGCCGGUGGUACGAUGAGAGGAUCACGGUUCAGGAAAGUUUCGUUGGAGCAAUGAUGGUCCACCCGAAUGGGAUCACGAGGUCAGUGUUCCAGAGUGUGGGUAAAGUGUGCAACCUCUGGAGAGUGUCAGAACUAUUCGAAUAGCCGUGUCCACGGUAACGGACAGCCCGACCAGGCCUCAUUAGAUGGUCAACCAUGUUGAUGUUAGUAAUGAUGGAAGAACUCGUCUGAGUAUGUAACAGAUGGGCAUCGUGCCAUUGUAACAGUUGGGCAUCGUGCCGGUGUCAUAGUGGGGCAUCGUGCCGGUGGUACAGUUGGGCAUCGUGCGGGUGAUAAGUCAUGGUAUCCAUCUUGAGGAUACUCGCUAAGGAUCUUGGUAAGAUCACAUGAGUUGGUAUCACCCGAGUUCGGUGAGAGUAGUCUGAUAUAGUUAGUUCUCUGUUAUUCCUUAAUAAUAACAACCCUUUAAUUAAUUUGGAUUACUAUAACAUUGUCUUGCCUUAAUGCUAAUGUUUGUUGUGAGCUUGCGAGUACAUUCAAAGUACUCACCUGGCUUGUCAUGCUAGUUUGCAGGUCAUGCUUGAUUGCUUGAUUGUCGAAGAUUCCGAGUUGCGAGCUAGGAUGCGCGGUCUAGCCAGAGUCCCUACGGAGUGGAGUUCAUCACCUCGGUAGUUGUUCCGCUUCUAGCGUAAGAUUUACCAUAGGCAGGUGUAGUAUCGCCACGACGAUGUAAUCUAUGUAUCCUUGUAAUCAUUUCCAUAGUAAUAAAGAGCUGAUUUGUUCUGUGCCAACGGUUCCGUAUUCCAGAAGACUGGUCCUUGGGCUGUAAUACGGGGCGUUCCGGUUUCCUCUGUGCUGGGGUGCCACAGCGACCUUGUCGACCUACGAGGUUUGUAGUAACUUGAUCCGAAGCUUAAUUAUCACUAUCAUCAGUUUC